AANAACCUGUUUUAUUAAAUAAUAAUAUCCAAUCUGCUCUCAAUCACCUAGGUUUAAAAUAGUAUAUUAUUUAAGAGGAUAAGAGUAGUGUAAUGUUUUCUAUUUUAAAAUAUGUAAAUGUAUAUAUCAUUAUUAUAUAUGCGUUUUGAUAAGAUUGUAUUUACAUGUAAUUGUUCUCGCAUAAAAUAUUAAUAAAAUGUCUUCACUUUGAAA